CAUGCAAACAGAAGAAGUUCUGAAUUAUUUAUGCGGGAAAUAUGAACGUUUGAAAUGAUGCAACGGAAAUUUGUGAAUGUAAUAAUGUGCUUGAAGUAAAUUUUUCGCUGGAUUUAGAUUGUCUGGAUCUUUUGGAGUGUAUGAGGACUGUUUUUUUUGGCUAUGUUGAUUGGUGGAUUACAAUCACACCUCAUGGUACCUGUUCUGUAUCCACCUGCCUGCUGUCCUGCAUUUGGGUCAUCCCUGCCUGUGCAGCUUCAGUCAAGACCAGCUCAGCGCUACCAGUGAAUCCUCCUGCAAUCAUGAUCUGUGUGCAGUAAAGUGAACUAUAUGGUGAAAUAAAACAAUUUUACACAAACCCCU